rnacentral:rRNA from 1 species
AUUGAACGCUGGCGGCAUGCCUUACACAUGCAAGUCGAACGGCAGCACGGGUGCUUGCACCUGGUGGCGAGUGGCGAACGGGUGAGUAAUACACCGGAACGUACCUUAUCGUGGGGGACAACGCAGCGAAAGCUGUGCUAAUACCGCAUACGCCCCGAGGGGGAAAGCGGGGGAUCGAAAUACCGCGCGCGAUUCGAACUCCCGAUGCCUGAUUAGCUUGUUGGUGGGGUAAAAGCCCACCAAGGCGACGAUCAGUAGCUGGUCUGAGAGGACGAUCAGCCACACUGGGACUGAGAGACGGCCCAGACUCCUACGGGAGGCAGCAGUGGGGAAUUUUGGACAAUGGGGGCAACCCUGAUCCAGCAAUGCCGCGUGAGUGAAGAAGGCCUUCGGGUUGUAGAGCUCUUUUGUCAGGGAAGAAACACCGGCUCUAACACAGUCCGGGAACGACGGUACCUGAAGAAUAAGCACCGGCUAACUACGUGCCAGCCGCCGCCGUAA